rnacentral:lncRNA from 1 species
GCAGAAGCUGAGGUUCCAAAAGGAGCCAGGCCUGGAGGCUGGGAGCCUGAGCUGCAGGGCGCGAUUCCCACCUGGCCUGCCCACUGCUGAGCCCUCCCGCUCUGCGUGGCCAGAUGUGAGUCAUAGGCAGAGUGGCCUUGGGCCUUGAACCCUGGCUCUUGCUUCCCACAGCGGCUUCCUUCCACUCCGGGGCUGAUUCAUCCUGCUUCCCCAGAUCUUCGGGGAAGCCAGGCUGUCAGAGGAGUCAUCCUCCUCUGCUGAGCUAUCUUUGGAUUUCCCUCCAAAUCCACAGCCAGCCUCGCCCCUCAGCCCUGACAGCUAAUCUGGGGCCUGUGCCACCCACUGCCACACACUGCUCUUCCUCUGUAUGCAACCCACCUGGGGUGAAGGAGACAGGAACAGGACAGGACCUGUGCAGGCAUUUCCAGCUCCCUCCCCCUGCAGGACGCCUUCCCCUGAAACUCACUCCUCAGGGACCACUCUCCUCGUCCCACCCCUCCUCAGCUGGCAAGCUCUUUCCCACUCCUCCUUUAGGCCUUCGCUUAGAUGUCCCCUCCUCCAGGAAGCCCUCUCUGAAGCUCCCGUAACCCCAUGAACCGGUUUCCAUCACGAUAAUAUUUACUGCACCAUGCACCACGUGAAGCCCUUUAUAUAAAUGACCUCAUAGAAUCUCCAUGAAAAGACGCAAAGUGGGUACUGUUGGUUUCAUUUCACAGAUGAGGAAACUGAGGCACAGAGAGAUUAAGAAACCUGGCCAAAGCCACAGCAAAGAGGUGGGGGAGCUGGGAUUUGAGCCAGCACUUAGCCAGCUGGCCCAUUCAGAUGCUCAGAGGUCAUGACACUAUUUUCGCUUUUGCCCAGUGGUACGUCUUCAGUGUCCCACGCAGGGACUCGGUGACUAGCCCCGAAUGAUCACACUGAAUACCCGGGGUGGCCUGAAGCACCUCACCUUCCACCACCAAAAUUGCCAUAAGGCCAAGUGGUUAUGCAGCGAAAAUACUCGUGGCAAAGAUGUCUACAGCAAACAGGCUUGCAGCAAAGUACCAAGAAACCCUGGUUGCUGACUGUUCUGCACCCAGUCUGACUUGUGACGCCUUCCCCGACACCAAGCAAUUCUCCGACACCAGCAGGAUGUCCUACAGUUCCAUCGAUUCUGUCACCGUCUACCUGGAGAUAGCAUCAGACCCCACAGGUUAAGGGCUCAGUUCCACAAGACUGCCCCCACUUCAGACGCCAGUGGCAAGUCCAGGUUGCCACCUGUGCUUCUGACCGGCUGUCUAUAGACUGGAGGUUCCAACAACCCCCUCCUUGGGUUCCAUUAAUUUGCGAGAAUGGCUCACAGAACUGAGAAACAUUUCACGUACCAGUUUAUUAUAAAAGGAUGUACCUCAGAACAGCCAGAUGGAAGAGAUGCAUCGGGCAAGAUGAAAGAAUGAAUGAAAUGAACAGAGAAAUGAAUCGAGAUGAACAGAUCAUUCGGCAAUGGCUCUCAAAGUUCCCACUGCACGUUUUCUUUGACCCAGCAACUCCGGCUCGA